AAUCAGCGGGGCGUGGGGGAUAUGGGGGAGCGGCUCUGCCCUCCCUCCGUGACCGGCUUCCCUCGCCCCCGGCCCCGCCACUGCAGCCCCGCGGCUUCCCCGGGCUCCCGGCGGAGAGGUCCCGGGGUCUGACGGGGCGACAGACACCCCUUGGUGGGCACCUGCGGGUGAAAGGAGACACUGCCCGAGGAGCAGCAGGACAAAACAGAGCCAAGAGCACCGAGAUCUGUGGUGACACAUGCACCCGUGGCUGGAGAGCUGCUGCCUGGCAUGAGGCUGCUCCCUGCUCCAGAAAUGUGUGUCUGGAAGGUCGUGGUUCUGCAUUUUGGAGUGGUGGAACACAUUAAACUAUCUGCUGUCCCAGCCUGGCCAUCAGGGGAUGUACAAGGUUUGAGUAUUGUACUUUUCACUGAUCUUCUCUUAUCUCACCUACAGUGUCUGAACAUGUUACAAUAUCAUCAUGUCUCCUUUUUUGCUGCCCUUAUCAGGCUUAUCAGACCAUGAAGAUCGAUUACUGGUUUUAGUCACUUAAUUGUUUUAUGAGAAUUGGACCACUUAACUACUCCUGGGAUGGAUCACUGUAUAUGUUCAUGGUGACUUUCAAAUAUAGGUGAGCAUAGCAUAACUUUUGCUCAUCUCUGGAAUCAGUCCUACACUUCAAGUGGUAACAGACAAAAGGAGUGAGGCACUAAACAAUUAUCACUGGCAUAAAUCAUUCCCAUAAGAAAGAUGAUCAGGGAUUGUUAAAAGCAUAACUGUCCCCUACUAAAAAUGAUUUACCUUUUUUC